CUACCAAAGGAUAGUAGCAUUCCACUGGUCUUAGGCACCAAAACCCU
rnacentral:tRNA from 1 species